rnacentral:rRNA from 1 species
GGGUAUUGCCCUCUGUAACGGCGAGUGAAAGCGGCAACAGCUCAAAUUUGAAAUCUGGCCCCUUUCGGGGUCCGAGUUGUAAUUUAUAGAGAGUGUUUCGGGCGAGAUCACGGUCUAAGUUCAUUGGAACAUGGCGUCAUAGAGGGUGAGAAUCCCGUAUGUGACUGUGGAUCGACCCCAUGUGAAGCCUCUUCGAUGAGUCGAGUUGUUUGGGAAUGCAGCAUCAAAAUGGGUGGUAAAUUUCAUCUAAAGCUAAAUACUGGCUGGAGACCGAUAGCGCACAAGUAGAGUGAUCGAAAGAUGAAAAGCACUUUGGAAAGAGAGUCAAAAAGUACGUGAAAUUGUMGAAAGGGAAGCGCUUGCAACCAGACCUGUCCGUAGGUGAUCAGCCGCUGUUCUCAGUGGUGCACUCGCUCUGCGAUCAGGCCAGCAUCGGUUCGGGCGGUCGGAUAAAGGCCUUGGGAAUGUAGCUUCCUUCGGGGAGUCUUAUAGCCCUCGGUGCAAUGCGGCCAGCCGGGACCGAGGACCGCGCUUCGGCUAGGAUGCUGGCGUAAUGGUUGUAAGCGACCCGUCUUGAAACACGGACCAAGGAGUCUAACAUCUAUGCGAGUGUUUGGGUGUCAAACCCAUGCGCGGAAUGAAAGUGAACGGAGGUGAGAACCCUUAAGGGCGCAUCAUCGACCGAUCCAGAUGUCUUCGGAUGGAUUUGAGUAUGAGCAUAGCUGUUGGGACCCCAAAAGAUGGUGAACUAUGCCUGAAUAGGGGUGAAGCCAGAAGAAACUCUUGGUGGAGGCUCCCCAGCGGUUCUGACGUGCAAAUCCGAUCGUUCAAAUUUGGGUAUAGGGGGGCGAAAGAACUAAAUCC